GUAGUCCAUGCCGUAAACGUUGGGCACUAGGUGUGGGGGACAUUCCACGUUUUCCGCGCCGUAGCUAACGCAUUAAGUGCCCCGCCUGGGGAGUACGGCCGCAAGGCUAAAACUCAAAGGAAUUGACGGGGGCCCGCACAAGCGGCGGAGCAUGCGGAUUAAUUCGAUGCAACGCGAAGAACCUUACCAAGGCUUGACAUUCACCGGACCGCCCCAGAGAUGGGGUUUCCCUUCGGGGCUGGUGGACAGGUGGUGCAUGGUUGUCGUCAGCUCGUGUCGUGAGAUGUUGGGUUAAGUCCCGCAACGAGCGCAACCCUCGUUCUAUGUUGCCAGCACGUGAUGGUGGGGACUCAUAGGAGACUGCCGGGGUCAACUCGGAG
rnacentral:rRNA from 1 species